GCUUGUCUCAAAGAUUAAGCCAUGCAUGUCUAAGUAUAAGCACUUAUACCGUGAAACUGCGAAUGGCUCAUUAUAUCAGUUAUAGUUUAUUUGAUAGUCCCUACUACUUGGAUAACCGUAGUAAUUCUAGAGCUAAUACAUGCGCCAAAGCCUGUUUCAGGCUGCAUUUAUUAGAUACAACCAUUCCCUCACGGGUCUCAGGUGAAUCAUAAUAACUUAGCGAACCGCAUGCUUCGGCGGCGGUGGUUCAUUCAAGUUUCUGCCCUAUCAGCUUUCGAUGGUAGGGUAUUGGCCUACCAUGGCGUUAACGGGUAACGGAGAAUUAGGGUUCGAUUCCGGAGAGGGAGCCUGAGAGAUGGCUACCACAUCCAAGGAAGGCAGCAGG
rnacentral:rRNA from 1 species